CCAAGCACGCUUCCGUCGAUCGUCUCUGGCGUUGGAGGGGUUGGUGAACUGUGUGGUGUCAAAUUUUAUUACUGUUUUGGACUCAUAUACAAAAUUAGGUGGUUAUACGGUGCUAAGAACUCGAGGUUACUUCUAGCAAGUCAUUAAGGCCUGAUCUGAAUCUAUUAAGCUAAAUGGGCAGGUAGACUUUGAAGAACAAACGAGGAGAAGAGCCAAUACAAGGCUCAAUUCUCAGGUUAAGAGAUGAUUAGAAGUUGCGGCAGUAGUCUCUAUAAGAGGAAUUUAUGAGUAAGAAGAUGACUGAUCCAAGAGGUACAUCCUUAAUUAAGGGAAUAUUACUGGAGACCUAUGUGAUGGCAAAAUAUCAGAUCCUUCACCCACAUGGAACAAUGUUUCUUGGAAUUUGAAGUGAAGGGGCUUUAGUAUAUAGUAAACAGUGCAUUGCGGCUAUGUAUGGCAAACGUUGAACUGAUGUAUGCCACUAAUCACAAAGAAAGACACUCGAAAGUCCCGGAGCAACGCCCGGGCAAUCUUUCUAGUGACCAUAUCAAUGGCUAAUUCCGGCAACAUUGAGCUCUUAGAUAUAGCUUCAUUUCCAGGUACAUUCUAGCUCUUUUGUAUACUAGAAGCUAAAGGCCUAAAGUU